CUUAAGGUGGCCAAGAAGAAACAAUGAAGACAAGAAUACUAUUUGAAUUCUUACCAGCUAACCUUACAAUCCCAUUCCUCUAGCAUUCGUAGGGGAAGCUCUUCCCUUCUAUUGAAAAUCUGAAGAUUUUCUUGAGUAUAAGUGGAUGUCCUUGAGGAGGCUGCUGGUAUCAGCUCUCUGUGAGUGACAUACAGAGAAAAAGAGAGAGAAAUGCCUCUUCAGAAAUGAGGCAGCAGAAUUUUCAGCUUCUACCUGGAGGUGAGAGAGCUAACCAGCCAUGGCACAGUGGCGGCUCAGAGCCUUUUCUCCAGUGGAGGAGAGGCGGGAUUGAGCCCAUCUGCCUGUAUAUCCUGGAUGCCCUGCAGCAUGCUGGCGCUGGUGACAGCAGCAACAUCCACCACACCAACCUGGUGGCAGAGGGACAUGACCACAGACCUCCUUCCUCCUUCUUGAACCUGGUGCCAGCCAGGUCCUCCGCAGUUGCUGUAGCUGAUUUCACCAAGCCAUUAAUGCUGCAGGCAGGUGCUCAAGACAUGCCUCUUGUGGAAGGAGUGGGAAUAUGAUAUGUCCAGAUCAGCAAUCUUAGCUCAUCAAGGGAAAUGAGGGCCUAUUAACAGAAGUCUUGGUGAUGACACUUGCUGUAAAACCCAUGUGCACUUGUUCAUGUUAUGAAAUGUGUCUCAUCAGAUCAAAUAAACCCAAACAGAGCUAUGUGUCAAUUCACUUCUACCCUUUGUGUCACAAAGUGAGCUGUAGCCAUUUCCAACACAAGACAGAGGGAAAAAAAGAUUUCCUGUUUACUCUAUGCUGUGUGUGUUUGGAUAGGUAAAGAGGAA